rnacentral:rRNA from 1 species
UACGAAGGAUUCGAGCGUUAUCCGGAUUUAUUGGGUUUAAAGGGCGCGUAGGUGGACUAAUAAGUCAGUGGUGAAAGCCCGCAGCUUAACUGCGGAACUGCCAUUGAUACUGUUAGUCUUGAGUACAGUUGAGGUGGGCGGAAUGUGUCAUGUAGCGGUGAAAUGCUUAGAUAUGACACAGAACACCGAUUGCGAAGGCAGCUCACUAAGCUGUAACUGACACUGAGGCACGAAAGUGUGGGUAGCAAACAGG